AGAGUUUGAUCAUGGCUCAGGACGAACGCUGGCGGCGUGCUUAACACAUGCAAGUCACGGGGGCCCGCAAGGGUAACCGGCGAACGGGUGCGUAACACGUGAGCAACCUGCCGAUCUCUGGGGGAUAGCCGGGCCAACGCCCGGGUAAUACCGCAUACGCUUGCGAGGGGACAUCCUCUUGCAAGGAAACCUCCGGGGGAGAUCGAGGGGCUCGCGGCCUAUCAGCUAGUUGGUGGGGUAACGGCUCACCAAGGCGACGACGGGUAGCUGGUCUGAGAGGAUGGCCAGCCACAUUGGGACUGCGACACGGCCCAGACUCCUACGGGAGGCAGCAGUGGGGAAUAUUGCGCAAUGGACGAAAGUCUGACGCAGCGACGCCGCGUGUGGGAUGAAGCCUUUCGGGGUGUAAACCACUGUUGCCCGGGACGAACAUCCUCUUUCGAGAGGACUGACGGUACCGGGUGAGGAAGCACCGGCUAACUCUGUGCCAGCAGCCGCGGUAAUACAGAGGGUGCGAGCGUUGUCCGGAAUCACUGGGCGUAAAGGGCGCGUAGGUGGCUUGGUAAGCGUGUGGUGAAAGCUCGGGGCUCAACCCCGAGUCUGCCGUGCGAACUGCCGAGCUCGAGCAAAGUAGAGGCAGGUGGAAUUUCGGGUGUAGCGGUGGAAUGCGUAGAGAUCCGAAAGAACACCAGUGGCGAAGGCGGCCUGCUGGGCUUUUGCUGACACUGAGGCGCGACAGCGUGGGGAGCAAACAGGAUUAGAUACCCUGGUAGUCCACGCCGUAAACGAUGGGUACUANGCGUCUGGGGGAGCGACCCCCUGGGUGCCGGCGCUAACGCAUGAAGUACCCCGCCU
rnacentral:rRNA from 1 species